UACGUAGGGCGCAAGCGUUGUCCGGAUUCAUUGGGCGUAAAGAGCGUGUAGGCGGCCAGGUAGGUCGGUUGUGAAAACUGGAGGCUCAACCCUUCAGAGGUCGACCGAAACCAUCUGGCUAGAGUCCGGGAGAGGAGAGUGGAAUUCCCGGUGUAGCGGUGAAAUGCGUAGAGACCGGGAAGAACACCAGUGGCGAAGGCGGCUACCUGGACAGGUACUGACGCUGAAGCGCGAAAGCUAGGGGAGCAAACAGG
rnacentral:rRNA from 1 species